rnacentral:rRNA from 1 species
UGCCCUAACAGUUCCCCGUCCGGGAACAAGGAGCUGGUAUCAGGCACAACCCUACCGAGCCCACGACACCUUGCUUAGCCACGCCCUCAAGGGAACUCAGCAGUGAUAAACAUUAAGCCAUAAGUGAAAACUUGACUUAGUUAAAGCUAAGAGGGCCGGUAAAACUCGUGCCAGCCACCGCGGUUAUACGAGAGGCCCAAGUUGACAAACACCGGCGUAAAGCGUGGUUAAGUUAAAAAUCGUACUAAAGCCAAACAUCUUCAAGACUGUUAUACGUAACCGAAGACAGGAAGUUCAACCACGAAAGUCGCUUUAUCUGAUCUGAACCCACGAAAGCUAAGGAACAAACUGGGAUUAGAUACCCCACUAUGCCUAGCCCUAAACAUUGAUAGUACUAUACACCCACUAUCCGCCCGGGUACUACGAGCAACAGCUUAAAACCCAAAGGACUUGGCGGUGCUUUAGACCCACCUAGAGGAGCCUGUUCUAAAACCGAUAACCCCCGUUCAACCUCACCCUUCCUUGUUUUACCCGCCUAUAUACCGCCGUCGUCAGCUUACCCUGUGAGGGACUAAUAGUAAGCAGAACUGGUACAACCUAAAACGUCAGGUCGAGGUGUAGCGUAUGGAGGGGGAAGAAAUGGGCUACAUUCGCUACCACAGCGAACACGAAUGAUGUACUGAAACACACAUCUGAAGGAGGAUUUAGCAGUAAGCUG